GUAAGUAUAUCGUUUUGUUGCUAGUUAUGGGUGAAGCCAUAUCUUGAGUUUCUGGACGAAUUUUUGGCUCAAAAUUUCCACAAGUGUGUGUAAUUGAGUUAAGAAGCUUUAGAUCAAAGUUUCAUAGUAUUUAAAUAAUUACUUUGUGAGAUAUAAAGGAAGUUGUACAUGGGUGUAAAAAAGCUAGGGUUUGAAGCUACAGUUAGGGUUUUCAAGGUAUCACAAGAUCCAAGACGAAUUUACAAUUGAAUUUUGAUGUGGUAUUUGCUAAAGAUAUAUCAGUACUCCAUGUAAAAUUUGGAGUUGUUUAGACGGUUAGAUCGUAAGUUAUGAGCUGUUGAACUUCGGAA
rnacentral:lncRNA from 1 species